UUCAGGUUGAUCCUGCCGGACCUGACUGCUAUCGGAUUGGUACUAAGCCAUGCGAGUCAUUGUAGCAAUACAAGGCGGACGGCUCAGUAACACGUAGUCAACCUAACUCGUGGACGUGGAUAACCUCGGGAAACUGAGAAUAAACCACGAUAGAUCAUAGUGCCUGGAAUGGCUUAUGGUCCAAACAGUUUACUGCCAUGGGAUGGGACUGCGGCCUAUCAGCUUGCUGGUGAGGUAAUGGCCCACCAAGGCGAUUACAGGUAUGGGCUCUGAGAGGAGAAGCCCGGAGAUGGGUACUGAGACACGGACCCAGGCCCUAUGGGGCGCAGCAGGCGAGAAACCUUAGCAAUGUGCGAAAGCACGACUGGGUCAGUCCGAGUGAUUCCUGAUAAAGGAGUCUUUUGCUUGUCCUAAAAGCACAGGUGAAUAAGGGGUGGGCAAGUCUGGUGUCAGCCGCCGCGGUAAUACCAGCACCUCGAGUGGUCAGGACGUUUAUUGGGCCUAAAGCAUCCGUAGCCGGCUCUGCAAGUCUUCGGUUAAAUCCACCUGCUCACAGAUGGGCGCUGGAGAUACUACAGAGCUAGGGGUGGGAGAGGCGACGGAUUCAGU
rnacentral:rRNA from 1 species